rnacentral:lncRNA from 1 species
GCGGCGUGUGGUCUGCGCCUGGGUGACGCGCCGCUCCCGCUACGCCUGCUGGGAAUUGUAGUCUCCUCCGGCCUCACGCGUUUCCGCCCCAGAGCUCGAGGCGGAGGUUUCCUUGCGGGGGUGGGGGGGCGGGGGACUCAGGAACUGAUGGUUGAGUCACACGUAGCCGCUCGCUGACGACUGUGCCUUUGACAUGUAUUAUCACCGUGAAGCGGUUGUUAGACAGUUACAGAGGUGAAAAGACAUAUUCGGGCUGCGUGGCCCUUGAGUAUCAAACGAAGGAGCAGAUGUGUGAAACUCUGGUAGAUUCCAGGCCUGUUUACCCCUCGCUGUAUCCGGUGGUGUCACGGAUCAUCGACGUUGAUGCGGACGUUCCCAUCACUCGGCGGAGAUGUGAUGAGCUGUUGUAGAGCUGCGAUGGAUGCACAGUCCCAGAGGAAACUGUCAAAAGUCCGGGAAAAUCAGGCCACAUCAGUGUUAAAAGAUUCAGUCUGGUGGAUGGGGUGUUGCCAUGCUACGUGGAGGACACCAAAGGCGCUUGAAGAGACAAUGAUGCUAACACACAAAGAAAAACAAUAUCGAGAAGCGGGGGUCCAGGCAGCAUAACUCCUGAUGAGCUAUGUUGACUAUCAUGUUCUCUGUCCUUCAGCUCUUCAGUCACACAAGUCAUCAUGUUCCUCACCUUCACCUUUACUGGACUGUAUAUGACAUGGAUUUGGCUGCAACCAAGAGUCCUGAUUAAUAUAGCACUGUAGGAUGUUGUGUGGUUCCUCGUGUAAAUCCAGAGCCGUCAGACUUGUGGGAUAGUUGGAAUGUCCUAGGUAAAUUUCAACCCUAUUAGAGAGAAGUCAUGGUAGAGCUUUAGGGCUUGAAGUUAAGUACCUGUGACAGCAGAUUAGGCAAGCCAAAUGUUAUCCUCCCUUACUGUAUUGGCUGGACUUUAGGGAGUUUAAGUCUCCCUUCCACUCACAGUAUUUCCUCAUCCAGUGGGUAUUUAUCAUCUUUGGUAAAGGUCAGUAAUCUAGUUACAUUGUGAAAAUCAGCAGAGUUCAGGAUGUGUUUAUGGUUCAUCCUCCUGAGAAAAAGUACCUUGUGUUUGACAGUUUAGAAGGUAGUUUACCACAAAAUUAACAAGAUCUUACUACUUAGUAUGACUUGGGGAGGUAUUAUAUACUUUGCAUAUAUUCCUUAGCAUUAGCGUUUAUUGCUACAAUCUGGCUGGCCUAAAUGCCAUAGUAUUACUCUGUCACCUUCAUCUAAUGAGAAUGGGAGGAACACAGAACAGUGGCAGGAUCUUAGCAUUAGGACAGGGUUAUCUCAAUUGUUCCCUCAGUAAUGUCUGUCUCUAUAAUGACUGGCCGUUAGUUCUGGGGUGAUCUCAACUUAUGUUCAAAUUCUAUAGGUGUCAAAUUUAGGGAAUCCAUCUAAGACACUGAGAAGGCAAACACUGUAGGCUGAACUAGGUAGAUAGAGUCAAUAACAUCAGCAAAUCAGCAAGCAUAGCAUACACGUAGAUCAACUCUCAUCUAAGGCCAAGAAGUUUGCAUGCUCUGCCAGAAGCAAAGGCAGAAAUUCUAGAAAACUCACUUCUAGAUGCAGAGAAAGGUAAAGAUCUCAGUGUCCAAUUGACACAAAACAUUUUCCUACCAUACUCUUCCCUAGUAAUAGUAAUUAACAUGUAUUAAGUGCCUGCUAUGCCUGGAAUUGACCUGGGUGCCAGGAAUAAAAGAAAAACAGGGUCACCAUCUAAUAGGGACCUCCAACUCUUGUAAUAGGAAGAAAAUAUUGGGAGAAAGGAAGAAGGAGGAGGCAUUAUAUGAAUGGGAGCACCAUGGAAGAACUUUCCACAUGUAACUUAAAUCGCUUAGGUUGUAAUGACUACUAUCUGAAUGAAUGCAGUAAAUUUAAAAUGCAUUUAAUUAUAUUUUUCUCAAGUUUUCUGCACAACAGCUCAUUUUAUUUAAAAAAUGUACAUUAGGGGGAUGCCUGGGUGGCUCAGCAAUUGCACAUCUACCUUAGGCUCAGGGCAUGAUCCCAGAGUCCCGGGAUCAAGUCCCACAUCAGGCUCCCUGAAUGGAGCCUGCUUCUCCCUCUGCCUAUAUCUCUGACUCUCUCUGUGUGUCUCUCAUGGAUUAAAUAAAUAAAAUGUUUUUAAAAAGUUUCUUAAAAAAAUAAAAAUAAAAAAUAAAAAAGUGCAUUAGGGAUCCCUGGCUAGUGCAGUUGGUUAAGCAUCCAACUCUUGGUUUCCACUCAGGUGGUGAUGUCAGGAUCAUGAGAUGGAACCCUGAGUUGGGCUUUGCACUCAUUGCAGAGUCUGCAAAAGUUUCUCCUUCCCACUCCCAUGCUCCCUGCCCCCACUCUCUCUCACACACUUUCUCUUUAAAAUUAAUCAAUUAAUCAAUCAAUUAAAAAUACAUUUAAAAAGGUGCGUUAGGGGCCCCCGGGGGGCUCAGUCAGUUAGAUGUCUGCCUUCGCCUCAGGACCCUGGGAUCGAGCCCCUUGUUGGGCUCCAUGCUUAGCGGGCAGCCAGCUUCUCCUUUUCCUUCUGCCUCUUCCCCCGCACUCCUGCUUGUGCUCAUGCUAUUUCUUUCUUUUUUUAUUUCUAUUUCAUAUAAAUAAAUACAUAAAUACAAUCUUUUAAAAAAUGUACAUUAGAUAUCCCCUAACAUGUUGACACAAGUUUAUGGUGCACACAUGCAAUGUGAUGUAUGACUUGUUUCUUUAAUGUUCUAACUGGAUUGUAAAUUAUUCUUGAGAUUCAUUGUUUUACCAUCAAUCUAGAACAACAGAGAUGAUCCUCUUCCUCUGGAACUCAACACAUAAUUUAGUUUCACUUUAUAUUUCAUUAAUGUCGCUUUAGAGACUCUCUCUAACUUCAGAGAGGGUUUUUCCUUCAGAGAAGCCUUUUGAGCUUUCUUUUAAGGUUGUGCCUGCUGUACUAAGAGAUUUCUUUAAAGAGAUCUGGAGAUUAAAUAUCAGACAGUGCUCAUGUGUAGGAGGUGAGUUCUUAGAAUGAUUUGGGUUUGGAGGAAGGGUAAUGUAGAGCUUCACUUCCUUCAAAGUUGUUUUUCUCAAUAGAAAAAAAAUGUUUUAUGUAGUCAGUUUUUCUCAUUUGUAAUUGUGUGUUUGAUUUCUGUCAUACUUAAGCUAUUAAAAUAUUUU